GGCGAACGCUGGCGGCGUGCUUAACACAUGCAAGUCGAACGGAAAGGCCCUGCUUUUGUGGGGUGCUCGAGUGGCGAACGGGUGAGUAACACGUGAGUAACCUGCCCUUGACUUUGGGAUAACUUCAGGAAACUGGGGCUAAUACCGGAUAGGAGCUCCUGCUGCAUGGUGGGGGUUGGACAGUUUCGGCGGUUGGGGAUGGACUCGCGGCUUAUCAGCUUGUUGGUGGGGUAGUGGCUUACCAAGGCUUUGACGGGUAGCCGGCCUGAGAGGGUGACCGGCCACAUUGGGACUGAGAUACGGCCCAGACUCCUACGGGAGGCAGCAGUGGGGAAUAUUGCACAAUGGGCGGAAGCCUGAUGCAGCAACGCCGCGUGCGGGAUGACGGCCUUCGGGUUGUAAACCGCUUUCGCCUGUGACGAAGCGUGAGUGACGGUAAUGGGUAAAGAAGCACCGGCUAACUACGUG
rnacentral:rRNA from 1 species